CCCCCAAAGUUGGAAGACGACAUGACUUGGGGGAGUCACCAGCGGACAAGGUGAACGGGAAAGACGUCGCUCAGCUCGACGAUGCCUUUCAAGAGGCCUUUGAGAACUUACACAUCGGUAGCCCUGUCGUUCAUCAGCUGUUUUUGUUCCUGUCUGAGACGCAGAUCUCAAGAGGAAAAUCCGGAAAAGGACAAAGUAGAAAAAUGUACCAGAUCAGAGUCCCUCAUUGUAAGGGUUAUGGUGUCCAUUUUUACAGACAGCUGUCAAAGGUUGUGUUAAACCAGGCAAUUAAUUAAACUUAUUUAAAUGUGUCCA